GUAGGUGGCAAGCGUUGUCCGGAAUUAUUGGGCGUAAAGUGCGCGCAGGUGGGUUCUUUAAGUCUGAUGUGAAAGCCCCCGGGCUCAACCGGGGAGGGUCAUUGGAAACUGGGGAACUUGAGUGCAGGAGAGGAAAGUGGAAUUCCACGUGUAGCGGUGAAAUGCGUAGAUAUGUGGAGGAACACCAGUGGCGAAGGCGACUUUCUGGCCUGUAACUGACACUGAGGCGCGAAAGCGUGGGGAGCAAACAGGAUUAGAUACCCUGGUAGUCCACGCCGUAAACGAUGAGUGCUAAGUGUUGGGGGGUUUCCGCCCCUCAGUGCUGCAGCUAACGCAUUAAGCACUCCGCCUGGGGAGUACGGUCGCAAGGCUG
rnacentral:rRNA from 1 species